CCUUGCUUCUUAUCUAAAUUUAAACUGGAAAAUAAAAUUUAAAACAUCGUAAAAAAAUGAUGAUUAAAAGGAUUAUGCUGAAGCAAAGGUGAAAGGACUAGUGAGAAAUGGGUCCUUGUCUCUGAAGGCAGUUCUCCUAGACCAGUACACAGAUCCUCAUUCAACAAGAUGCGCUUCCCUGUUUGGGGAAUACUGUGAGGUCCAGUUGCUCUUCUUUAUGUGAUCACUGAGCCUGCCAAAGAAGGCAAUUGUUGCGGAACUCUAUGCAUGUCAAUGUUGGCCAGCAUCAGCACUUUGCUAAAGUCCAUCUCUUCUCUUCUGCAUUUCAGUGAUCCAGGAUGUAAUCUUGGUGCCCCAAUCAUUUCACCUUCAGGAGUCUAUGCUGGCUGACUAUUUGUCUGAAGCUCUCCAAGAUCUAACUGAUAGAUGGUCUUUGUCAUCCUGUGAUUCAGCAUGCCUAAUAUUCACCCCAGUCAUGAGCUAUACAAGACCCUAAUGCCAGCUGACCAUUUAUCUGAAGCAUGCCUAGACAUCCCAGCAAGAUGGUCUUAGCAUCCUGUGAUCCAGGAUGCUGACUUACUGCUCCAGUCAUGAGACCUUCAGGACUCUAAUGCUGGCUGAAUAUUUGUCUGAAGCUCUCAGGGACAUACCUGGUGGAUAGUCUUUAUCAGACUGGAUGCAAAUUUGGUGCCCCAGUCAUUUCAACUUCAGUGAUCCAGGAUGCAGACUUGGUGCCCCAAUCAUUUCACCUUCAGUGAUCCAGGAUGCUUGGCUGGUCCCCAGACAUUUCACCUUCAGGAGCCUAAUGUCGACUGAAUAUUUGUCCAAAGCUCGAGGAGAACUAUCUUCUAGAUGGGCUUUGUCGUCCUGGAAAGUAGCACUGUUUGUGACCCACGACCAGUGAUCCCAGAUGCCAACAUGGUGCCCCAUUCAUGAGACCUUCAGGAGCCUAAUGCCGGCUGACCAUUUGUCCGAAGCUAGCCGAGACUUUCCUUCUAGAUGGUCUUUGUCAUCCUGUGAUCCAAUGUGCAGACUUGGUGCCCCAAUAAUUUCACCUUCAGUGAUCCAGGAUGCUGUCUUGGAAUCCCAUUCAUGAGACCUUCAGUGAUCUGGGAUGCCCUCUUAGAUCCAAGAGCAUCAGACCUUUCAGUGAUCUAAGAUGCUGUUCUGGAACCCACACCCUCAGAUCUUUAAGGAUUCCCUGAGCUGUGAGAAGAGAGGCCCAAUGGAGACUUCCAAUUUAGACUCUCUCUACAUAACAUCAGGCUGUGUGUCUCUGAAUCUUCUCCCAUCUGCUACUGGAGGAAGUCUCUCUGAUGACAACUUGACAUGGCUGUGAUCUAAAAAUUUGCUCACAGCUGAAAGGUUCCCUGAUCCACAGCAGUGGUAAGGAGCUUCUAGCUGCUGAAAUGGCUACUCAACUCAGCUAGAUAAGCACCACCAGUGGUUUCAACAGACUGAGUCCCCUCUCUUCUCUCUAACAGAAAUUCAUUUGGUUUGAGUUUCUUGACCGUUGCUUAGAAAUUACAGGUUGUAAUACAUUAAAAACAAAAUCAGACCAGAGUUUCUUUGCUCCUGCACUCAAUUUGGUGGUACACCUGCAACACCUGCUGACCAUCAACAAGUGAGCCAACGCUCACCCAGACCUCAGUCUUCCAGUAUUUUCCUUAAGGAAAACAGAAAACAUCCAUCUUCAAGAAUCCAAAAGACACUGAACAUGCAGAUGCCUAAAGAAGAAAGAAUAGCUAUACAGAAAGAGCCAUCAAACAAAGAAUACUCUGACUUAUGGAGACACAAUUGCUUCUGACAGCACUAACCAAUUCCUGAAAAUAUGAUGGACACCGAUGACACUCCAUGUGGAGUUUGUUCUCUCCUUGGUUAGUGUCCUUUCGGGCAAAGAACUGCCCCUACCUUGACCACUGACCUUGGACAAGCUGUCCUAACUGGCCUAGCAGGAGAUAAACUUAAAGAAUACUGCUGAAGCUCGCAAAGUCAUGUGAUAUGAGAUGCCCUCUUCAAUGCCACAGCAUUGCACCUUUCAGAGUACACAACCUUGCCCAGGUUUUGACUGGUUAUUGAAACACUCAUUUGUUAAAAGAUGACUUGUCUGGAUCAAUGAUGAAAACAACUCUCUGAAGAUGGUGAAUAACUCAUAUAAACGAAAAUCAGAAGUUGAGAGAUAAGUCCCUCAAAUAAGGCAAAUAAGAUUCUCAGAGCCUGCCUUUUCCUAAUGAACUUUUGGUGAAGUCCUCUAACCAGAAUGUGUUGGUUUUGUCUCCUAACUUUUAAGGUAAUAUGCACAGUAAUUUUUUCUAGUGACUCCAAAUUUGUGUCAUUUUUCUUUUUUUUAUUUAAUUUAAAUUAGAAACAAGUUUGCUUCACAUGUCAAUCCCAGA